GAUGAAGAACGUAGCGAAAUGCGAUAAGUAAUGUGAAUUGCAGAAUUCAGUGAAUCAUCGAAUCUUUGAACGCACCUUGCGCCCUUUGGACAUUCCGAAGGGCAUGCCUGUUUGAGUAUCAUGAACACCUCAACUCUCACGGCUUGUCCGUGAUGAGCUUGGACUUUGGGGGUCUUGCCGGCCUGUGGUCGGCUCCUCUCAAAUGGAUCAGCUUGUCAGUGUUUGGUGGCAUCACAGGUGUGAUAACUAUCUGCGCUUGUGGUUUUCCAUCAGAUAACCUUCAGUGAUAUGGAGGUUCGCUGGAGCUCACAAAUGUCUCUCCUUAGUGAGGACAGCUCUUUGAACGUUUGAUCUCAAAUCAGGUAGGACUACCCGCUGAACUUAAGCAUAUCAAUAAGCGGAGGA
rnacentral:misc_RNA from 1 species